AUUGAACGCUGGCGGCAGGCCUAACACAUGCAAGUCGAGCGGAUGAAGGGAGCUUGCUCCUGGAUUCAGCGGCGGACGGGUGAGUAAUGCCUAGGAAUCUGCCUGGUAGUGGGGGAUAACGUCCGGAAACGGGCGCUAAUACCGCAUACGUCCUGAGGGAGAAAGUGGGGGAUCUUCGGACCUCACGCUCUCAGAUGAGCCUAGGUCGGAUUAGCUAGUUGGUGGGGUAAAGGCCUACCAAGGCGACGAUCCGUAACUGGUCUGAGAGGAUGAUCAGUCACACUGGAACGGAGACACGGUCAAGACGACUACGGGAGGCAGCAGUGGGGAAUAUUGGACAAUGGGCGAAAGCCUGAUCCAGCCAUGCCGCGUGUGUGAAGAAGGUCUUCGGAUUGUAAAGCACUUUAAGUUGGGAGGAAGGGCAGUAAGUUAAUACCUUGCUGGUUUGACGGUACCAACAGAAUAAGCACCGGCUAACUUCGUG
rnacentral:rRNA from 1 species